rnacentral:misc_RNA from 1 species
CAGCCCACCGAGGUCUUUAUACGCCACACUCGACUUCUCCCCUUAGUCGCCCCCUCCUUCCCCUUCUUCUCUCGUUUCCAUUCCUGACGAACGAACAGAGAGUGGGAGAUGUCCUCGGCCCCCAUGUCGGCGACGGCGGUCGUGCAGCUGCCACCUCUUAUCGACUGCCACGUGCACUUCCGCGAGCCUGGCCUCGAGCACAAGGCAGACAUCGCCAGUGAAAGCACCGCGGCGUACUACGGCGGCAUCACUGUUGCCUGCGACAUGCCCAACACGAGCCCGCCGACGCAGAGCAUCGCUGCACUGGCGGACAAGGUGGCGCGCUCCAAGGCCACCGCCCACGCCGACUGCCAGCUCUUUUUCUUCUUUGGCGCGACGGCCGAGGCGCACCUGCAGGAACUCCAGGAGCUCUGGACAAACCCGGCGCACGCGGAGCUCAAGACUCAUUGCUGCGGACUGAAGCUGUACCUCGACAACUCCACCGGCAACAUGAAGUCGAGCCGCUCGGUCGUGGAGAAGAGCUUCGAGAUGUGUGGGCGUCUUCAGAUCGUGCUCGUCGCCCACUGUGAGCAGUCGGAGAUCAACGACGCCGCUGCCGCUCAGCACCCCUAUGACGGCCCUGCUUCGCACUCGCUGCGGCGCCCCGCAGAUUCGGAGGCGGCUUCGGUGCAGAGUGCCAUCGACCUGGCACGCCAGUGCCGCACGCCGCUUCAUCUCGCCCACGUCUCGACGGCGCAGAGCCUCGACUUGGUCCGCGAGGCCCGCGCGGCCGACCCGACGCUGCAGCUCACCUGCGAGGUGACCCCACAUCACCUGUUUCUCACGACCUCCGACUACUCGUGCUGUGGCGCGCGUGUGAAGGUGAACCCGCCGGUCCGACCCCCGCCGCACCAUGAGGCGCUCUGGGCCGGGCUCUUGGACGGCACCGUAGACUGCGUCGGCACUGACCACGCGCCGCACACGAUCGCCGAGAAGGAUCAUUGCGACGGCGCCGCCCAGCCGCCAAGUGGAAUGCCGGCCAUCGAAGUUGUGGUUCCACUGCUGCUGACCGUGGUGGCGGGCCACUGGCCGCACCCGACGGCGGCGAAGCCGUCUACGCUCGCUGCGGCGGAGCAGCAGGGGUGCACGUUGACGCUGGACGACAUUGUGCGCGUGCUGCACACGAAUCCGAAUCGCAUCUUUAAUCUGCGACAGCCCGACGCGCCGCACCGCUCCUUCGACCUCGCGUGCGAGUGGACUGUCCGCGGCGAGGAGCUGCAUUCCAAGUGCCGAUGGUCCCCGUACGAGGGUUGGCGCCUGCGCGGGCGCGCCCUGGCAAAGGAGUGAGAUGGUGAUGCUGCUUUCAGGAACCUUCACCCCCUUCCGGCACCGCUCCCAAUUUCGGGACUAAGACGUUGUCGGACAUGCGAAGGGUAAGAGGAGGUGGGUGAUGGGUGUUGAAGUGGCCGGUGAGGGAGGGGGUGCACGACCCUCCCCUCCACAGGUGCCACCCGUCAGCACCGCCGGCACAAGACAUAUAACUAAGGCGCAUGCCGACUGAAGAGGCACACAAGCAGAGGCAGCGUGCGCUUCGCUCAAAGAGGGUGGCGAAGGGGCCCCGCCCAUCAACAGAUGAAGACAUCACACGCCAAGCGGCAACCGCGAAAGGCGCGGUGCGACGACAGCAGAGGGGCGGCAACAUACACACGCACGAAGAGAAACGUGCUGUGCCGCUGGUAUUCGACAAGGUGCACGCGUGAGCGUUGCGUGGAAGUUUUAUCUUUCAAGGUGAGCUCGUCUGUCUGCCGUGCACCAGGCGAGGCCAAACACCACACCCUACACCGCCACCUCUGACACACACACACACACGCACCUCCGGCUCCUCCUGCCACGGGCGCCCGUCGUCUGGUGCGAAGCAGCCGUAGACGCACACGGUACAGCAGUGCGCCGACUCGGUCAUCGGGGAGCACGGCCCCCGCCCCAAGCUCUACCCACCAACAGCCGCUUCGCAUGCCGCCGCGACGCCACGCAGCCCAGGACCUGACCGCCGACAUCUGUAGCGAUACGUCGCUCUGACCUCGCCACGUCGCAGGCGCCUGAGCUUGUCACCGCCGGAGGUGGUGUGGCGUUCGGCAGGGACGGGGGAGAUCCCCUGGCGUCUUGGCACACGGAGCGGGGCUGGGGUGGGGGGGGUGCGCUACUCACAUGAAGCAUCAAAAGAAGAUCACACACACACACACGCUUUCAUCGUGCACGACUGCUGUCUUGAUGAUGACCGCCGCCAGACACACGUAUAGGCACGCCGUGGCGCAAAGCCUCCCUUUUACGUGCGCGCCAUGCCCCCCCCCUCCCAACACCACCCGCUCUGCCGCUGCCCUCCUGCGCCUCUUCAUGGUGUACCUCAACACUCUGCGGCGCCUCUGUGAUCGACAUCCGGCUUGCCCCUUUCCUGCCUCCCCCUCCUCGCUCCGUCCAUCGCGCGCUCUCACACGCAUGCACGCCUACUCUUCCCUCUUCGUCGCCUGCGCAUCUGCAG